GAUGAACGCUAGCGGCAGGCUUAAUACAUGCAAGUCAAGGGGUAGCAAUACAACCGGCGCACGGGUGAGUAACGCGUACACAACAUACCAUAUACUGGAGUAUAGCUUCGGGAAACUGAAGGUAAUCCUCCAUAACAUUGCGAGAAGGCAUCUAAUUGCAAUUAAAGUUUCGACGGUAUAUGAUUGGUGUGCGUUUGAUUAGCUAGUUGGUAGGGUAACGGCCUACCAAGGCGACGAUCAAUAGCUGGCGUGAGAGCGCGACCAGCCACACUGGAACUGAGACACGGUCCAGACUCCUACGGGAGGCAGCAGUAGGGAAUAUUGGACAAUAGGGCGGAAAGACCUGAUCCAGCCAUGCCGCCGUGAUAGAUGAAGGA
rnacentral:rRNA from 1 species